AUGACAGAAACCAGCAGGCUGUUUUGAAUGGACCAGCAUAACAAUAUGCAAAUGCAUAUGCAAACCUUCCCCACUUACAGCUACAUAUAGAGAAAUAUCAGCCUCGGUCACUGUGGGCUCUGGAGAAUUUAGCACUGCUUUUAGUUAAACGAUGUUCCUUCCAUUUUUGCUGCUGCUGGCAGCUUCAUCCUAUGUGGAAUGUGCAGUAGAACUCACUCAGGUCACCUCAGUGAUGUUAAAGCCAGGAGACUCUUUAACCCUCAGCUGUAAAGUAUCCGGCUACUCUGUAACUGAUAACAGCUACAUGACAGCUUGGAUUCGACAACCUGCAGGGAAAACUCUGGAGUGGAUAAACCACAUUUGGGGUGGUGGAAGUGGUUAUAAAGUUUCUCUAAAAAACAAGUUCAGUAUUUCUAAAGACGACUCCAGCAACACGGUGACUCUGAGAGGACAGAAUCUGCAGACAGAAGACACAGCUGUGUAUUACUGCGCUCGUAAUCCACACAGUGAGACAGAUCAACAACUUCCCUGUACAAAAACACCUCAUACAGAAAACUCUUAA